rnacentral:piRNA from 1 species
UCCUGUAUUUGCCGAAUUGUGGUGUUUA